GAUGAACGCUGGCGGCGUGCCUAAUACAUGCAAGUCGAGCGAACAGACGAGGAGCUUGCUCCUUUGACGUUAGCGGCGGACGGGUGAGUAACACGUAGGUAACCUACCUAUAAGACUGGGAUAACUUCGGGAAACCGGAGCUAAUACCGGAUAAUAUUUCGAACCGCAUGGUUCGAUAGUGAAAGAUGGCUUUGCUAUCACUUAUAGAUGGACCUGCGCCGUAUUAGCUAGUUGGUAAGGUAACGGCUUACCAAGGCAACGAUACGUAGCCGACCUGAGAGGGUGAUCGGCCACACUGGAACUGAGACACGGUCCAGACUCCUACGGGAGGCAGCAGUAGGGAAUCGUCCGCAAUGGGCGAAAGCCUGACGGAGCAACGCCGCGGGAGUGAUGACGGUCUUCGGAUCGUAAAACUCUGUUAUUAGGGAAGAACAAACGUGUAAGUAACUGUGCACGUCUUGACGGUACCUAAUCAGAAAGCCACGGCUAACUACGUG
rnacentral:rRNA from 1 species